rnacentral:lncRNA from 1 species
AUACUCAGUGGUGGCCAUAGAGAGUUGGUGACUGCCUUUGAGAGGAGAAUGGUUGUGAUCCUUUUGCCGAGAACUCACCCAGAGGACUUAUACCUUGGUGACAGCAGAAGGACUCAAGUUAGAAGGCCAGGGCCCUUAAAGGGAGGGGACGAUUCGAGGAAAGUAUAGGUGGGUUGGGAGGAAUUCAUGGAUAUGGAGAUGAACAAACAAAUGGGGCCGGGAGCAGGUAAAGAGGUAGACCAGAUAACACCUCCAGAGUUGCGGUUUGACCUCUGCUGGAUCUCGGAGCUUUAGAGUCUCUAGGUGGAAAUAUCACAGAAUAAGAGACAUUCUGCUAGAAGGAAAUUUCGAGUUUAUUCCUUUCUUCCCUCCUUUUACAGAUUAGAAAACUGAGGCCCAGAGAAGGAAAGUAGCUGCCAGAGGUCACACAGCUAGGAUUGAGGGAUCAGAGGUAAGAACCCUAUGACACUUCAAGAGCCCAGGCGGUUAGGGCUGGGGAGCUCGCAGGGCCAGGGAGGUCACUGAGGAUGGCGGCGACAGCAUGACACGGGGAUCCCACAUAAUCCCAGUUGGUCCUGGGAGGACAGCCCAGGAGAGCUGCUCCCCAACUCUCAGCUGAGCCAUGUGGCCAGAGGGGGAAGGGAGCCUGGUGGGCAGGGAGGAACUGCCACAUGGAAAAGCCUUGAUGGGAACCAUCUGGCCUGGGCGGGCGGAAUGUGGGCUGCAGGGAGGGGAGGAGCAGGAGACGGGAAGGAGGCCAUGGUGGGCGGGUGGAUGGCGGGUUUGGGCUGGGAGUGGCCUGACCCGGAGGCCCCUACCUUCCAGACUGCUGCAGCCCAGAUGCCUUCGCAGCCAUGGCCUGGCCCAUCCAACCCGCUGACCUCAUUCCCAGCUCCCCUCUCUUGCAAGCUCCCCCCUUGCCUGCCACGUAGACUGGAGGCUUAGCUGCAUCUUCGCUGGAGGGAGGAAGAGCAGAACACAGAGGCCCUGAGCCCAGAGCUCUGCUGGGUCAGACUGGCCUGGGGAGAGCAGCUGUGUUCCUCCAGCGCCCCCCAAGACCAGGCUGGGCCUCAGUUUGCCCUCCUCAAACCUCCUCAAACCUGAGGCCCAGAAGGUGGAGGGGACAGAGGUCAUGGGAGAAGCAUGACAAUGAAGUGGGUUGGAGUGGGCGAGAAUCACGUGGGGGCUCUGAGGUCAUUGUAGCCAUCCCCCUGCCUCCUCAGGGCAGGAGGGUGCUAGGAUCAGACCCAGAAAGGGACAGGGGCAGGACAUUCCUCCUCUUUUCAAGCAUUCACAAGAAGCAGAGUUCCAUGGUGGUCUAGGAGGGGGUCCUUUGUAAGAUCUAGUCUUCCUCCUUCUGCUGUGUGAGGACCACAGUAUGUGGCUAGGACGAGGUGGGCGGUACGCUGUCUUCCGUCUCUCAGCUGCUCUCAGGGACCUUCGCUUCAAUCCUGUCUCCAGGCUCUGCCUCUGACCCCUGCCUCCCCCUCGCUUUGCUUCCCUGCCCCCCAGGGUCCUGGGUCUCCAGCUGCCCCAGUUGAACAGGGGGCUGUCCCCUGCGGCUCUCAAGGCGUUCCGGGGCUGUGAGUCAUCGGGAAUGUCUGUUCUGACUGCGGCUUCCCUCUCCUGACGUGGACCCUCUUUCUCCUCCUCCCCCACACUCAGGGAGAGGGUGCCCCUCCCAGGCAGGGGGCUCUGAAGUGGGGGAGGAAGCCACAGGCAGGCCUGGGAUGAGGUCUUGCUCCCCGAUUGCCAUCGGAAGGAGGCUUCGAAGACUUGCACGCCCCUCACCCAGAUUCUACCUUCCCAAGGCAGAUAGAAUUCCCUGACUUUCUCCCAUUUCCCAGGUGGGGACACUGAGGAGAGGCGGGGAGGGGAGGGCCUGAACUUGGGUGGGCCCAGGUUCACCCACUCCCUUUUAGGGCUCAGCUUUGUCAGACUGGGAAUCUGCCCAAGUGUCCUUCUGAAGGGCCCUCCCCGCAUUCGAGGCUGGAUCUGGCAGAAAAGCUGGAGAGGCUCUGCUGCCCGCUCCAGGGAUGACACGUCUCUGCUGGGUGGGGAGUCCACGUCCGCAGAAAAGGGGGAGGCCACGUGUCUGGACCCUUCCCGCAGAGCCCCUGUGCCCUGCAAGGCUGCCUGCCACCCCCCUCCUUCUCUCCCUCCUCUCCCCAGCAGCCCUGGCCUGCCCCCUCCCUCUGAUCUCAAGAAAUAGCUGGGGGGUCGGGGGAGGGGACACUGAAGGGAAGACCAAGCUAGGAAAAGCUCCUCUCCACCCCCUCCCAGCAUGUCUGGGCAUUUCACUCCCCACCAAUGAGCCUCAGUUUCCUCAACUGGAAAAUAAGGGGGAUGAACAGAAAAAGUCUCUACCCAUGGGUGAGUCUAUGAUCCUGUCUCUGCACAGUCAGAUAGACUCAGGCACUCACACCCACUCAAACCCACCUGUGCUCUCAGGCACGUUCAUUCAUUCACACAUUCACCGAUGCACACUUACACACACAUCUACACGCACAUGUGGCCCUCUGCCUAUUUUGGGUACAGCAGAUCCCCACAAUUUCUGUUUCCCUCUUUCUGACAGCCCACCAUUUCUUCUCUCAUUCCAAUCAUACCUCCCCCAGCCCCCACCCCACCCCCUUUAGCCACCCUCUUUACAUUUCUCUACUCCUGGUUCUCCUCCUCUUGAGGUCACUGGCAGGGCAGUGAGAUUUGAACUUCAGAGUAUCAGACCUCUGACCUUGCCAAAGACCACUCUGACUCUGCCCUAAGGCUCUUUCUGAGUUUUGGGUGGGAGGGAGUCUGAGUGAGGAGAGAGAAUAGAGCUGAGAAAGGCUGGUUCUUUCCUACCCAGCUGGGGACCUGCAAAAGGGUGCCCUUCACUUGUCUUUCCUGAACAUUAUGAACAUUCGCUUUCCAACAAAGUCUGUCCCACUGACAUCCGGAGGCCUCCUCUGAAGUGCGAUCAUUUUAGCAGCUUGUCCUGGCUGUUGCCCCAGGUUGCACCCUUCUAGGAACUUCCGCCUGAGGGAGACUGGUCAGAGCUCAGGAGGGACUGUUCCAGGGGAUGAGAUAUCUGCUGGCCAGGAAAGGCAUGGGAACUGGGCAGCGGAGCACACCCUCCGGACCUGGCCCAACUUCAGAAUAACAACAAAUGAUUGUGCCAGGCUCUGCCGUAAGUACUUUACACCUUUGUACUCCUCCAAAAGCCCUCUGAGAUGGGUGCUCCAAUUGUCUCCAAUUUCAAAGGAGGAAAGAGAGGCACAGAGAAGUCAAGUCAGUUGCCUGAAGUCACAAAGCUAGCAAGUGGCUGAGCUGGAAUUCAAACCCAGGCAGCCUGGCUUAUCUGUUACUCCCAGCUGGUCCAAGGGACCCGGGAUGGUCCAAGGGAUGCCCUCCCCCUUCAUCUAAAGAAGUGGCUAUUUGCAUAAACAGGCUUCCAUCUGUGUGCAUGCAUGGAAAGGAUCACGGGAUGACGUGGCUGGAAACAGACCACAGGCACCACCAGUAGUUGGAAAGAUCAGAACAGAGCUGCCUCCCUCCCUUUUGCUGGAGAACUAUUGUGAGCUGACCACCACACACACGACAUCUCCUUUAAUCCUCACAACAGCUCUGGGACGUCAGCCUUAAUAUCUCUAUUUUAUAGCUGUAGAGUCAGAAGGGCCGAGGCGUUGUGCAAGAUCCCCUUUCUCAAGCUCAGAAAGAACCCAGGUGUCCUGACAGCCAGAUCAGGCUUCUCUCAUUGAUCCACACGUCCCCUAUUUCCAAAUCUACAUGGCUUCUAGACACACACAGCCACAUACAACAGACCACGCAGAAUGUUGGAAAGAAUUACAGCUCUUGGCCGGGCGCGGUGGCUCACGCCUGUAAUCCCUGCACUUUGGGAGGUCGAGGUGGGUGGAUCACCUGAGGUCAGGAGUUCAAGACCAGCCUGACCAACAUGAUGAAACCCCGUCUCUACUAAAAAUACAAAAAAAUUAGCUGGGCGUGAUGGCGGAUACCUGUAAUCCCAGCUACCCAGGAGGCUGCGGCAGAAGAAUCGCUUGAAACCAGGAGGCAGAGGUUGCAGUGAGCUGAGAUCGUACCACUGCACUCCAAUCUGGGCAACAACAGCAAAACUCCAUCUAAAAAAAAAAAAAAAUUACAGCUCUCGGUAGUGUUUGAAGAAGCACUUUGCACCUCCUCAUUGACAAUGCCCCAGGAAGGGCUUAUGCUCAUUCUGUUGUGAGGGGAAGCCCCUUGCUGGGGCUUCCCCCCUGGCUGGGAAGUGGUAAAGCUGUGAAUAGAUCCCAUGUCUGCCUGGCCUGGCCACAAAGCUAGUGCUCCUCCCACUCUCCAAUACCACCUGCCACCCUCACUGUCACCAGCCCAGAAGCACCCCCUGCACACACCAUAUCCCCAGUGAGCACACAUGCAUGUCACAGACAGGAAAAUCACACUCAUGUAGUACCUGCACGACACAGGCUAAGGGCUUUUUGGUGUUUCCUGUGUGCCAGGCCCUGUUGUAAGUUCCGUGUAGGCAUGAGCUAGAUGCAAGGCCGCAACAAUCCUAGGAUGUAGGUUCCUUUCAAUAUUCUUAUCCUCAUUUUACAAAUGAGGAAACUGAGGCUCAGAGAGGUUAAGUAAUUUGCCCAAGGUCACACAGCUAGGAAGUUGCAGAGCUGAGAUUUGAACGCAGGCUUUAACCACUGUGCUAUGGCCCAUUCUCUAAUAUUGAUUGCAUGCUACUCAUUCAGUCAGUCAUCAACUAUUACUGACUGCUGUGUUGUGCCCAACUCUGCACAGGCCCCCGGGACGGCUCUUCCCUGCCCCCUCCUCCUGACCCAGCCUGGUGUGUACCACAUGGUAGAUGGGGGCUGUACCUGCUCUCACUCUCCUUCUUUUCCAGAGUUCCUCCUCCCCCACAAGCUGGCACAUGUGGAUAUUGGCUCUGUUUUGCCUUUGACCCCUAGUGAAAGAAAAUACUGAGACGGAGUCUCGCUCUGUCGCCCAGGUUGGAGUGAAGCGGCUAGAUCUCAGCUCACUGCAACCUCUGCCUCCCAGGUUUAAGCAAUUCUCCUGUCUCAGCCUCCAGAGUAGCUGGGACUACAGGCGCAUGCCACCAUGCCCUACUAAUUUUUUGUAUUUUUAGGAGAGACAGGCCUUCACCAUGUUGGUCAAGCUGGUCUCGAACUCCUGACCUCAGGUGACCCACCGGCUUCAGCCUCCCAAAGUGCUGGGAUUACAGGCAUGAGCCACCGCGCCCAGCCUCAUAUCUAUCUUUAUCACUCCAUUUCAGAUCUUCUUCCAUAUAUGGCUCUGUGUGUCUCCUGUCCUUCCCUGUCUCCUCACUGCUUUUCAGCUGGUAGACCCCUGUGGGGACAACAGAUCAGAGCUUGGUCACCAAUAUGGACAUCUAGGUCUGAGCAGGGCCCACUCCCCGGGGGCGCAUCAGCUCCAUCCCGGCACCCUUUACACUGGCCUUCUCUUCACAAAGGACCACAGGUCAUCCUCAAGCCUUCCUCCCAGGCUAUCCUUGUCCCUGAAUACUAAUGUCUAAAGGUCAGCCCAGCUACCAGCAGUGUGCAUGUGAUGUGUCCCAUCUCCCCUUCGGAUUGGAGGAAGAAGCUGUGUCCCUCCCAUCAGACAGACGGUCUCCUUAAAGAUUCUCCUGGUCUCCAGCUUGGGCUCUGCUGGAAAGAAGAGGAAGUAUUUAGCAAGGGUGAAGAUGGGUUCUUACUUCCCUGAGGCAACCAGAGAUAAGAAAAGACCAGAAUAUGAAUAUCCAGCAUUCCACAAAGAAUCCUACAGGCAGGGAUAUUGCCCAAUCACCAGUGCCUCGCAUCCCAGUUCUAUCCAAGAUCCAAGCUUGAUAUCCUCCUGAAAGACUUCCUGAAUCAGGUCACCAACAUGGACAUCUGAACUUCCAGAAUCAGGUCACCGUCUUUCUUCUCAUCUCUGGAUGUAUUUGGAGCUCAUUUGUCUGACGGUUUUUGAAUGCUAUCUUUUAAAAAUAAACUUUUACAAUUUGGGUUUAAUAAUUCUAGAUUUAUAGAAAAGUUGAAAAGAAAGUACAGAAAGUUCCCAUAUAUCCCUUAUCCAGUUCUCUUAAUGUUAACCUCCUACAUCAUCAUGGAACAUUUGCCAAAAUGAAGAUGUCAACACUGGUGCUUUGCUGUGAACUAAACUCCAGACUUUAUUCGGAUUUCAUGAAUUUUUCUCCUAAGGUCCCUUUUCCGUUCCGGCAUUCCACCCAGGAUAUCACAUUGCAUUUGGUGUUUGUGUCUCCUUGGUCUCCUCUGGUUCUUGAGAGUUUCUCAGUCUCUCCUUGUUUUUCGUGACUGAAGUUUCAAGGAGUACUGGUCAGGUAUUCCAUAGAAUGUCCUACUGUUAGCUUUCAGCAGUAAAAGCCUUUCCACAAACAAAACCUUCUGCAGAGUCCUAAUCUGUGAACAGACAAGAAUGGAGUUGCCAUGGUCACAGCAGUGAUGAGAAAUGAUCCCCUGAAUAUGAAUCUCCAUGAAACCCCCCGAGAAUUAUAAGAAACCCCCAGGAUACCAUGGAACCAAGUUUGAAAACCAUUAAUUUAGGCCAAGCUCUGUUCAGUACUUGGUUUUGAGCUAUAAAACCCUAGACAGGGAAUUAUAAACUAGAUCUUAGAUCUUACAUACUUCUGGUGACAGGGCCACCACAGUUUUUUUG